UAGGAGAUCAAGAUCAAGAUCCCCAUUUUAAGGAGUUAGGAAGGUGGGAUUGUAUACCCUGAGAUCCAGAAAGAGACUCAGGUUUUGUGACGCCUAACUAAGGCUUGUACACCUCGGCAGACCCACUUUAAGAAAAGUUAUACCAGCUUACAAAUUAGGUACAAGGGCUUGGCACAGACCUUGAAGCUUCAGCGUCAUUAGCUUCAUGGUCAAUGCUCCAUUUCUGCUAAGACUUGAAAAAUAAGUAGGAAUUAGCCAGGCGAAAUAGCUGUAGGAACAGAGAGCUGGCCGAGGACCCGACAAACGCAGCAACAAAAGUCCGGGGUGGGAGGGCGGUCUGGGAGCUCCAGGAAGUUUUGGAGCCCUGGACGAGGAGUUAGAAGUGGCCAACGGGGACAUGAGAGAGGGUGGUGAUGAGGGGUCAGGUAAACCGAGGCAGGGAGUGUCAACUUUUCGCGGAGAGCAACAGAGAGCCACAGAGAGUUUGGGGAAGGGGUGUGACAAGGUCUGAUUUGCAUUUUUGUUGUUGUUUUUCAGAUUUGCAUUUUGGACCCUCACGGCCACCACAGUAAGGGGAGAGGACUGAAAAUCAUGUGAUUAUUCCCCCCCGACCUGACCUCCAUUUUCUCUGUCCUCCUCCUAAGUUGAUCUUUGUUAACACAGGAGCUGAGUACCCUCGGAGCCGGGCACAUGGACCCAUGCUGGACCACGUGACCCUCCAGGUGGCCCUGUGCUCACACGUCCUCAAGGAGCUGAGAAUACUCUUACCUGGAGGAAGCAGGUGGAUGGAAAGUGGAGAGAGGAAGAAGCAACGUGCCCAAGACCUUCUCCAGAGGCCGAGGUGGUUUCCGGAUGGAGUCGAGUUCUUGCAAAUCAAAGACAAACCCCGGAGCAAGAUGGACAAUGAGGGUUGUCUCAAGGGGCUCAGCGGAGAUGCCAAAAAAGAUCCAAAGGACCUUGAAAGCAGACAAGCGGGAGAAACUGGAAGCAUACGGGCCUCUCACAGUUGUGGCCUCUCCCGUUGCGGAGCACAGGCUCCGGAUGCGCAGGCUCAGCGGCCAUGGCUACGGGCCCAGCCGCUCCGCGGCAUGCGGGAUCUUCCCGGACCAGGGCACGAACCCUUAUCCCCUGCAUCGGCAGGUGGACUCUCAACCACUGCGCCACCAGGGAAGCCCUCUUGGACUCUUUAAUCAACAGAAAUUGUCUAGUUAACGCUGUAAAAACCCAUCAUGAGGAGAGAUCUCAUCUGGACCCAGCAAUCUCAGUUCUAGGAAAGAACCUCCGCUCACGUGCAUAAGACAAUAGGCAUAACAGCCAAGGACCUCAUCUGACAUUGCAGGGGCCCCUGUGCUGUGUCAAUCUCACUGUCCCACUGUUUACAGCUUUGCAAAUGUGGAGUGGCUGACACUUUCAUGCCACCUUGUCCCUUUGGACCGCACGGACCUCCUUCCUGAUCCCUUCACUCAGAGGGUACAAAGGUAUUUUACUAGCCUGACCUUGACUGGCCCAGUCCCCUUCCCAUGAGGUCUGGGGGCUGUUCUUGCUUCUCUAAGAGGUUGCUUGUUUUUCCCAGUUCUCACCCUCCCUGCAUCCAUGCCCUUAGCAUGUGGCUUUCACAGCGCCUCCUGCUGGAGGUGGCAUGUAUUUCACUGCACACUGACUGGGCGUGGCCUGUGGACGUGACGUCACACCAGUUCUGAGCCUUGACCUUAAGAGAGCUCGCGUGUUUUAACCCUCCUGUGCUUCUGACUCUGCCAUAACAGGGACAGGUAGUGGCUGUCCCUUCAGCAUGGGCCCCAGAGCAAGACAAGCAAGGCAGAGCUACCCCAACCAACUCACAAUCUACAGCUGUCACCCCUGCUGACUUGCAGGUACAUGAACAAGAGGGAACACUGAGCUUUGGUGUGGUUUCUUACGCAGCCGUUGCUAACUAAUACAGCUCUCUACCCUCUGUGUUCCUCUAGCCUCAUAGAAGAAAGGAAACUAACAUUUUCUAAGCACCUGCCAAGUGUUUUCACAUACAGUAUUAUAUUUAAUUUUUCAAAUGUCCUAUGAGGUAGGCAUUCUUUUUCACGUUCUACAGACAAGGCACCUGAGGCUCAGAGAAAUUAAGUAACUUAUCCGAAGUUAUCAUUUUAGCAAGUGACAGAAUUAGGAUUCCAAACCAGGUUUUCACACUUCAUGAGAAACACCACUUGCACUGCCGAAUCCUUUAUAGAAAUCAGAUGAGGUCACUGGAGCAUCUGAUUGCCAUCUCCAUGGCAGGUAAUUAUAGGUUUUGUACCCCAACGUGAAUUCAUCAGGGGAAAGAGAUAGUCACCUCAUUGUGUAUAAACCAGAAGGAAAAACUGUUUUAGCAUUGUGUAAGAUGGGAUCUGGCACCGCUGUCACAGAGGAAACUCACCCUAAUACUUAGGUCAAUAUGAAUAAUG